rnacentral:tRNA from 1 species
GGAGGUAUGCCCGAGACAUAAAGGAUUACUUUGAUAGAGUAAAACACAGGGACUAAUCCCCCUUACCUCCU